AAAAAUGCUCAUAUUGUGAGCUCGAUGAGUAGGGCGGGACACGUGGUAUCCUGUCUGAAUAUGGGGGGACCAUCCUCCAAGGCUAAAUACUCCUGACUGACCGAUAGUGAACCAGUACCGUGAGGGAAAGGCGAAAAGAACCCCGGCGAGGGGAGUGAAAAAGAACCUGAAACCGUGUACGUACAAGCAGUGGGAGCACGCUUAGGCGUGUGACUGCGUACCUUUUGUAUAAUGGGUCAGCGACUUAUAUUCUGUAGCAAGGUUAACCGAAUAGGGGAGCCGAAGGGAAACCGAGUCUUAACUGGGCGUUAAGUUGCAGGGUAUAGACCCGAAACCCGGUGAUCUAGCCAUGGGCAGGUUGAAGGUUGGGUAACACUAACUGGAGGACCGAACCGACUAAUGUUGAAAAAUUAGCGGAUGACUUGUGGCUGGGGGUGAAAGGCCAAUCAAACCGGGAGAUAGCUGGUUCUCCCCGAAAGCUAUUUAGGUAGCGCCUCGUGAAUUCAUCUCCGGGGGUAGAGCACUGUUUCGGCAAGGGGGUCAUCCCGACUUACCAACCCGAUGCAAACUGCGAAUACCGGAGAAUGUUAUCACGGGAGACACACGGCGGGUGCUAACGUCCGUCGUGAAGAGGGAAACAACCCAGACCGCCAGCUAAGGUCCCAAAGUCAUGGUUAAGUGGGAAACGAUGUGGGAAGGCCCAGACAGCCAGGAUGUUGGCUUAGAAGCAGCCAUCAUUUAAAGAAAGCGUAAUAGCUCACUGGUCGAGUCGGCCUGCGCGGAAGAUGUAACGGGGCUAAACCAUGCACCGAAGCUGCGGCAGCGACACUGUGUGUUGUUGGGUAGGGGAGCGUUCUGUAAGCCUGUGAAGGUGUGCUGUGAGGCAUGCUGGAGGUAUCAGAAGUGCGAAUGCUGACAUAAGUAACGAUAAAGCGGGUGAAAAGCCCGCUCGCCGGAAGACCAAGGGUUCCUGUCCAACGUUAAUCGGGGCAGGGUGAGUCGACCCCUAAGGCGAGGCCGAAAGGCGUAGUCGAUGGGAAACAGGUUAAUAUUCCUGUACUUGGUGUUACUGCGAAGGGGGGACGGAGAAGGCUAUGUUGGCCGGGCGACGGUUGUCCCGGUUUAAGCGUGUAGGCUGGUUUUCCAGGCAAAUCCGGAAAAUCAAGGCUGAGGCGUGAUGACGAGGCACUACGGUGCUGAAGCAACAAAUGCCCUGCUUCCAGGAAAAGCCUCUAAGCAUCAGGUAACAUCAAAUCGUACCCCAAACCGACACAGGUGGUCAGGUAGAGAAUACCAAGGCGCUUGAGAGAACUCGGGUGAAGGAACUAGGCAAAAUGGUGCCGUAACUUCGGGAGAAGGCACGCUGAUAUGUAGGUGAAGCGACUUGCUCGUGGAGCUGAAAUCAGUCGAAGAUACCAGCUGGCUGCAACUGUUUAUUAAAAACACAGCACUGUGCAAACACGAAAGUGGACGUAUACGGUGUGACGCCUGCCCGGUGCCGGAAGGUUAAUUGAUGGGGUUAGCGCAAGCGAAGCUCUUGAUCGAAGCCCCGGUAAACGGCGGCCGUAACUAUAACGGUCCUAAGGUAGCGAAAUUCCUUGUCGGGUAAGUUCCGACCUGCACGAAUGGCGUAAUGAUGGCCAGGCUGUCUCCACCCGAGACUCAGUGAAAUUGAACUCGCUGUGAAGAUGCAGUGUACCCGCGGCAAGACGGAAAGACCCCGUGAACCUUUACUAUAGCUUGACACUGAACAUUGAGCCUUGAUGUGUAGGAUAGGUGGGAGGCUUUGAAGUGUGGACGCCAGUCUGCAUGGAGCCGACCUUGAAAUACCACCCUUUAAUGUUUGAUGUUCUAACGUGGACCCGUGAUCCGGGUUGCGGACAGUGUCUGGUGGGUAGUUUGACUGGGGCGGUCUCCUCCUAAAGAGUAACGGAGGAGCACGAAGGUUGGCUAAUCCUGGUCGGACAUCAGGAGGUUAGUGCAAUGGCAUAAGCCAGCUUGACUGCGAGCGUGACGGCGCGAGCAGGUGCGAAAGCAGGUCAUAGUGAUCCGGUGGUUCUGAAUGGAAGGGCCAUCGCUCAACGGAUAAAAGGUACUCCGGGGAUAACAGGCUGAUACCGCCCAAGAGUUCAUAUCGACGGCGGUGUUUGGCACCUCGAUGUCGGCUCAUCACAUCCUGGGGCUGAAGUAGGUCCCAAGGGUAUGGCUGUUCGCCAUUUAAAGUGGUACGCGAGCUGGGUUUAGAACGUCGUGAGACAGUUCGGUCCCUAUCUGCCGUGGGCGCUGGAGAACUGAGGGGGGCUGCUCCUAGUACGAGAGGACCGGAGUGGACGCAUCACUGGUGUUCGGGUUGUCAUGCCAAUGGCACUGCCCGGUAGCUAAAUGCGGAAGAGAUAAGUGCUGAAAGCAUCUAAGCACGAAACUUGCCCCGAGAUGAGUUCUCCCUGACCCUUUAAGGGUCCUGAAGGAACGUUGAAGACGACGACGUUGAUAGGCCGGGUGUGUAAGCGCAGCGAUGCGUUGAGCUAACCGGUACUAAUGAACCGUGAGGCUUAACCUU
rnacentral:rRNA from 1 species